GAUUGGUUACCUUGUUACGACUUCACCCCAGUCGCUAAACCCACUGUGGUCGCCUGCCUCCCUUGCGGGUUAGCUCAACGCCUUCGAGUGAAUCCAACUCCCAUGGUGUGACGGGCGGUGUGUACAAGACCCGGGAACGUAUUCACCGCGGCAAGCUUGAUCCGCGAUUACUUAGCGAUUCCGACUUCACGCAGUCGAGUUGCAGACUACGAUCCGGACUACGACCGGUUCUCUGGGAUUGGCUCCCCCUCGCGGGUUGGCAGCCCUCUGUACCGGCCAUUGUAUGACGUGUGUAGCCCUACCCAUAAGGGCCAUGAGGACCUGACGUCAUCCCCACCUUCCUCCGGUUUGUCACCGGCAGUCUCAUUAGAGUGCCCUUUCGUAGCAACUAAUGACAAGGGUUGCGCUCG
rnacentral:rRNA from 1 species